CUGCUAUCGGAGUUCGAUUAAGCCAUGCGAGUCGAGAGGUGUAAGACCUCGGCAUACUGCUCAGUAACACGUGGACAAUCUACCCUGUGGAGGGGGAUAACCCCGGGAAACUGGGGAUAAUACCCCAUAGACUAUGGAUGCUGGAAUGCUCUGUAGCCGAAAGGUCCGCCGCCACAGGAUGAGUCUGCGGCCGAUUAGGUUGUUGUUGGGGUAACGGCCCAACAAGCCUGUAAUCGGUACGGGUUGUGGGAGCAAGAGCCCGGAGAUGGAUUCUGAGACACGAAUCCAGGCCCUACGGGGCGCAGCAGGCGCGAAAACUUUGCAAUGCGGGAAACCGUGACAAGGGAACUCCGAGUGCCCGUAAAUUCGGGCUGUCCGCCAGUUUAAAUAACUGGUGAAGAAAGGGCCGGGCAAGACCGGUGCCAGCCGCCGCGGUAAUACCGGCGGCUCGAGUGGUGGCCACUAUUACUGGGCUUAAAGCGUUCGUAGCUGGCCUGUUAAG
rnacentral:rRNA from 1 species